AACGAACGCUGGCGGCAUGCCUAACACAUGCAAGUCGAACGAGAUCUUCGGGUCUAGUGGCGCACGGGUGCGUAACGCGUGGGAAUCUGCCCUUUGGUUCGGAAUAACAGUUGGAAACGACUGCUAAUACCGGAUGAUGACGAAAGUCCAAAGAUUUAUCGCCAGAGGAUGAACCCGCGUAGGAUUAGCUAGUUGGUGUGGUAAAGGCGCACCAAGGCGACGAUCCUUAGCUGGUCUGAGAGGAUGAUCAGCCACACUGGGACUGAGACACGGCCCAGACUCCUACGGGAGGCAGCAGUGGGGAAUAUUGGACAAUGGGCGAAAGCCUGACCAGCAAUGCCGCGUGAGUGAUGAAGGCCUUAGGGUUGUAAAGCUCUUUUACCCGGGAUGAUAAUGACAGUACCGGGAGAAUAAGCUCCGGCUAACUCCGUGCCAGCAGCAGCCGCAG
rnacentral:rRNA from 1 species